GAGGCCUGGGCUUGGCUGGACCACAAGUUUGAUCUGAUUUACGCUAAGCGGGCCUAUGUUCACUGGUAUGUGGGUGAGGGUAUGGAGGAGGGAGAGUUCUCUGAAGCCAGAGAGGACAUGGCGGCUCUGGAGAAGGAUUACAAGGAGGUUGGAAUAGCGUCGAGUAGGGAAUGAGU